UACGUAGGGGGCUAGCGUUGUCCGGAAUCAUUGGGCGUAAAGAGCGUGUAGGCGGCCAGGUAGGUCUGCUGUGAAAACUCGAGGCUCAACCUCGAGACGUCGGCGGAAACCAUCUGGCUAGAGUCCGGAAGAGGAGAGUGGAAUUCCUGGUGUAGCGGUGAAAUGCGCAGAUAUCAGGAAGAACACCCGUGGCGAAGGCGGCUCUCUGGGACGGUACUGACGCUGAGACGCGAGAGCGUGGGGAGCGAACAGG
rnacentral:rRNA from 1 species